GUCUCUUCCUGAUGUUUAGCACUGGGCUUCACACAUGCUUGAGAACACAGUGCCCCUGCAGGACCUUUGACACCUGGGUGGGGGGGGGGGGGGGGGUGGGGUCAGAGGGGC